ensembl:snRNA U2 U2 spliceosomal RNA
ACCGCUUCUCAGCCUUUUGGCUAAGAUAAAGUGUAGUAUCAACUAUAUUUUCAUAUAUAUUUAUUAUUUUCU